UCCGAGUUGUAAUUUGCAGAGGGCGCUUUGGCAUCGGCGGCGGUCUAAGUUCCUUGGAACAGGACAUCGCAGAGGGUGAGAAUCCCGUACGUGGGCGCCUGCCUUUGCCGUGUAAAGCCCCUUCGACGAGUCGAGUUGUUUGGGAAUGCAGCUCUAAAUGGGAGGUAAAUUUCUUCUAAAGCUAAAUACCGGCCAGAGACCGAUAGCGCACAAGUAGAGUGAUCGAAAGAUGAAAAGUACUUUGGAAAGAGAGUCAAAUAGCACGUGAAAUUGUUGAAAGGGAAGCGCUUGCAGCCAGACGUGCGCGCGGUUGCUCACCCCGGCUCUCGCCUGGGGCACUCUUCCGCGCGCAGGCCAGCAUCAGUUCGGGCGGUCGGAUAAAGGCCUCUGUCAAGUACCUUCCCCCGGGAAGGCCUUAUAGGGGAGGCGCAAUGCGACCAGCCCGGACUGAGGUCCGCGCAUCUGCUAGGAUGCUGGCGUAAUGGCUGUAAGCGGCCCGUCUUGAAACACGGACCAAGGAGUCUAACAUCUAUGCGAGUGUUUGGGUGUCAAGCCCGGGCGCGCAAUGAAAGUGAACGGAGGUGGGAUCCCCUUCCGGGGUGCACCAUCGACCGAUCCUGAUGUCUUCGGAUGGAUUUGAGUAAGAGCAUAGCUGUUGGGACCCGAAAGAUGGUGAACUAUGCUUGAAUAGGGUGAAGCCAGAGGAAACUCUGGUGGAGGCUCGCAGCGGUUCUGACGUGCAAAUCGAUCGUCAAA
rnacentral:rRNA from 1 species